GAGUUAAAGCGCGCGGGUGCCAGCCGGGAGGUGCGGCUGGAUUCGUUUCGCUGAGGUGCGUCCCCAACCCAAGGGCACGACUGCAGUGGCCAGUUUCCGAGCCCCGCCCGGAGGGGGGCACGCGGUGGGCAUUCCGGUGUUGCAGUGAAACGAAACUUAUUUGCUAAACUUGGCCGAGCCUUAGAAGUUGAAUGCCUGCCUCAGAAAGUUGCCUCGUUCUCUGGGCUGUUUAGUUGGCUUUUUUUAGUUAGAAUAUCGGCAGCGAAAAUGAUAAAUCCCCUAAACCUUGCCGAAGUAAAAACUGGCUGCGUUUUUUUUCCUUGGCUAUGAUCAACUGGGGUGCCUUUGUUUUAAUAAUAGUCUUUUAUUAUUAUUUUAAAAAGCAGUGCUAAGUAUAUUAAUUUAGGAUAGACUUGGAAAAGAAAAGAUGAAAUUGCGCUGUCUCUGCCUAGAGAAAAACCCUGACCAUGUUGUCGUGUGUGUUUCAUUCAAUCUUUUUGUUGAGUAUAUCUGUUUUAUGAGUGCUGUACUGAUUGCAUAGGAGGUACCUGUGUUUAAAAAGCAUUUACUGAAUGAUGAUUACAAGCAAGGAGAUGUAUCAGAAGAUCCACAGAUAAUCGGAAGCUUGUCAUUGGAUCUGGAGAGAGCUGGUCCCAUGGAGGAAAAAAAGACAGGUACACACAGAUGUGUGUGAUGCCACAUUAAGAGAGAUCCCGGAUUUGGGAUCUGCAGGCUUCAAGAGGUCAUCUUCAGCUAUACGGAGAA
rnacentral:lncRNA from 1 species